rnacentral:rRNA from 1 species
UACGGGGGGGGGGCAAGCGUUGUUCGGAAUUACUGGGCGUAAAGGGUUCGUAGGUGGCCAACUAAGUCAGACGUGAAAUCCCUCGGCUCAACCGGGGAACUGCGUCUGAUACUGGUUGGCUUGAGUGCAGGAGAGGAACGCGGAAUUCCAGGUGUAGCGGUGAAAUGCGUAGAUAUCUGGAGGAACACCGGUGGCGAAGGCGGCAUCCUGGACCGACACUGACGCUGAGGAGCGAAAGCCAGGGGAGCAAACGGG